GAUAAACGCUGGCGGCGCACAUAAGACAUACAAGUCGAACGGACUUAACCAUUAGUUUACUAUUGGAGCGGUUAGUGGCGGACUGGUGAGUAACACGUAAGCAACCUGCCUAUCAGAGGGGAACAACAGUUAGAAAUGACUGCUAAUACCGCAUAUGCCUAAGUACCACAUGGUACAAUAGGGAAAGGAGUAAUCCGCUGAUAGAUGGGCUUGCGUCUGAUUAGAUAGUUGGUGGGGUAAUGGCCUACCAAGUCGACGAUCAGUAGCCGGACUGAGAGGUUGAACGGGCCACAUUGGGACUGAGAUACGGCCCAGACUCCUACGGGAGGCAGCAGUCGGGAAUAUUGCGCAAUGGAGGAAACUCUGACGCAGUGACGCCGCGUGCAGGAAGAAGGUUUUCGGAUUGGUAAACCUCUGUGGACAGGGACGAUAAUGACGGUACCUGUUAGAAGCCACGGCUAACUACGUG
rnacentral:rRNA from 1 species